UGCGGUGGGGCCUGUGCUGGUACGGGCAGGCGGCUCUGAACCGUCGUGACGUGGCUUCGAUUCCUACCACCGCAA
rnacentral:tRNA from 1 species